AUUGAACGCUGGCGGCAGGCCUAACACAUGCAAGUCGAACGGUAACAGGAAGACGCUUGCUUCUUUGCUGAUGAGUGGCGGACGGGUGAGUAAUGUCUGGGAAACUGCCUGAUGGAGGGGGAUAACUACUGCAAACGGUAGCUAAUACCGCAUAACGUCGCAAGACCAAAAAGGGGGACCUUCGGGCCUCUUGCCAUCGGAUGUGCCCAGAUGGGAUUAGCUAGUAGGUGGGGUAACGGCUCACCUAGGCGACGAUCCCUAGCUGGUCUGAGAGGAUGACCAGCCACACUGGAACUGAGACACGGUCCAGACUCCUACGGGAGGCAGCAGUGGGGAAUAUUGCACAAUGGGCGCAAGCCUGAUGCAGCCAUGCCGCGUGUAUGAAGAAGGCCUUCGGGUUGUAAAGUACUUUCAGCGGGGAGGAAGGGAGUAAAGUUAAUACCUUUGCUCAUUGACGUUACCCGCAGAAGAAGCACCGGCUAACUCCGUG
rnacentral:rRNA from 1 species